UACGGAGGGUGCAAACGUUGCUCGGAAUCAUUGGGCGUAAAGCGCACGUAGGCGGCCUGUUAAGUCGGGUGUGAAAGCCCUGGGCUCAACCCAGGAAGUGCACUCGAAACUGGCAGGCUUGAAUAUGGAAGAGGGUCGCGGAAUUCCCGGUGUAGAGGUGAAAUUCGUAGAUAUCGGGAGGAACACCAGUGGCGAAGGCGGCGACCUGGGCCGAUAUUGACGCUGAGGUGCGAAAGCGUGGGGAGCAAACAGG
rnacentral:rRNA from 1 species